GAUGAACGCUAGCGAUAGGCUUAACACAUGCAAGUCGAGGGGCAGCAUGGUCUUAGCUUGCUAAGGCUGAUGGCGACCGGCGCACGGGUGCGUAACGCGUAUGCAACUUGCCUCACAGAGGGGGAUAACCCGUCGAAAGACGGACUAAUACCGCGUACACUCUAUGUUGGGCAUCCAAUGUAGAGGAAAUGAAAUUCGCUGUGAGAUAGGCAUGCGUCCCAUUAGCUAGUUGGUGAGGUAACGGCUCUCCAAGGCGACGAUGGGUAGGGGAACUGAGAGGUUGAACCCCCACACUGGUACUGAGACACGGACCAGACUCCUACGGGAGGCAGCAGUGAGGAAUAUUGGUCAAUGGGCGAGAGCCUGAACCAGCCAAGUCGCGUGAAGGAUGACUGUCUUAUGGAUUGUAAACUUCUUUUAUACGGGAAUAACAAGAGUCACGUGUGGCUCCCUGCAUGUACCGUAUGAAUAAGCAUCGGCUAACUCCGUG
rnacentral:rRNA from 1 species